AUUGAACGCUGGCUGCAGGCCUAACACAUGCAAGUCGAACGGUAACAGGAAGAAGCUUGCUUCUUUGCUGACGAGUGGCGGACGGGUGAGUAAUGUCUGGGAAACUGCCUGAUGGAGGGGGAUAACUACUGGAAACGGUAGCUAAUACCGCAUAACGUCGCAAAACCAAAGAGGGGGACCUUCGGGCCUCUUGCCAUCGGAUGUGCCCAGAUGGGAUUAGCUAGUAGGUGGGGUAACGGCUCACCUAGGCGACGAUCCCUAGCUGGUCUGAGAGGAUGACCAGCCACACUGGAACUGAGACACGGUCCAGACUCCUACGGGAGGCAGCAGUGGGGAAUAUUGCACAAUGGGCGCAGGCCUGAUGCAGCCAUGCCGCGUGUAUGAAGAAGGCCUUCGGGUUGUAAAGUACUUUCAGCGGGGAGGAAGGGAGUAAAGUUAAUACCUUUGCUCAUUGACGUUACCCGCAGAAGAAGCACCGGCUAACUCCGUG
rnacentral:rRNA from 1 species